GCGUAGGGUACGUAGGUGGUAAAAAAUGAAAAAAAUGAAAUACUAGAUUAUCAUCUUUUAUGUUUUUGAAAAUUUUUUACUGGAAUCUCAGAAGGAUAAUGGUACUUUUUAGGGAGAGGUUAAAUGAAAGAUAAAAAAGGGACCGAAGGGGUGAAAGCAAUUAUUGGUCGAGUAUUGAGCUAAGGUACGAAGGCAGGGUAGCAAAGAGGAUUAGACACCCUCGUAGUCCGUGUGUCAACGCUGAGUUUUCAAUGUAGGAACUUUCUUAUAAUUUUGGUUUUUAUAUUUAUUUAUGCUUGCAACCAAUAAUUAUUUUUAAAAUUAAAAAUUUUAGUUUUAAAAAAAUCAAAAAAAUAAAAAAAGAUUUGAGAAAAUAUUUAUUCUUGGUGUUUGAGUAACGCAUUAAAUUCUCCGCUGGGAAGUACGGCCGCAGGUUGAAACUCAAAAGAAUUGAGGUGACUUGUACAAGG
rnacentral:rRNA from 1 species